AGUGAACGCUGGCGGUAGGCCUAAUACAUGCAAGUCGAACGGCAGCACAGUAAGAGCUUGCUCUUACGGUUGGCGAGUGGCGGACGGGUGAGGAAUACAUCGGAAUCUACUUUUUCGUGGGGGAUAACGUAGGGAAACUGACGCUAAUACCGCAUACGACCUACGGGUGAAAGCAGGGGAUCUUCGGACCUUGCGCGAUUGAAUUAGCCGAUGUCGGAUUAGCUAGUUGGCGGGGUAAAGGCCCACCAAGGCGACGAUCCGUAGCUGGUCUGAGAGGAUGAUCAGCCACACUGGAACUGAGACACGGUCCAGACUCCUACGGGAGGCAGCAGUGGGGAAUAUUCGACAAAGGGCGCAAGCCUGAUCCAGCCAUACCGCGUGGGUGAAGAAGGCCUUCGGGUUGUAAAGCCCUUUUGUUGGGAAAGAAAAGCAGCAGGUUAAUACCCCGCUGUUCUGACGGUACCCAAAGAAUAAGCCCCGGCUAACUUCGUG
rnacentral:rRNA from 1 species